UAGGGAAUCUUUGGCAAUGGGGGGAACCCUGACCGAGCAACGCCGCGUGAGUGAAGAAGGUUUUCGGAUCGUAAAGCUCUGUUGUUAAGGAAGAACGAGUGUGAGAAUGGAAAGUUCAUACUGUGACGGUACUUAACCAGAAAGGGACGGCUAACUACGUGCCAGCAGCCGCGGUAAUACGUAGGUCCCGAGCGUUGUCCGGAUUUAUUGGGCGUAAAGCGAGCGCAGGCGGUUAGAUAAGUCUGAAGUUAAAGGCAGUGGCUCAACCAUUGUAGGCUUUGGAAACUGUUUAACUUGAGUGCAGAAGGGGAGGGUGGAAUUCCAUGUGUAGCGGUGAAAUGCGUAGAUAUAUGGAGGAACACCGGUGGCGAGAGCGGCUCUCUGGUCUGUAACUGACGCUGAGGCUCGAAAGCGUGGGGAGCGAACAGG
rnacentral:rRNA from 1 species